GUGAAUUGCAGAAUUCAGUGAAUCAUCGAAUCUUUGAACGCACAUUGCGCCCGCCAGUAUUCUGGCGGGCAUGCCUGUCCGAGCGUCAUUUCAACCCUCAGGCCCCCAGUGCCUGGCGUUGGGGAUCGGCACAACCGCCCUCCGGGGCGGCGCCGGCCCCGAAAUCUAGUGGCGGUCUCGCUGUAGUCCUCCUCUGCGUAGUAGCACAACCUCGCACUGGAACGCGGCGGCGACCAUGCCGUGAAACACCCCACUUCUGAAAGUUGACCUCGGAUCAGGUAGGAAUACCCGCUGAACUUAAGCAUAUCAAUAAGCGGAGGAAAAGAAACCAACAGGGAUUGCCUCAGUAACGGCGAGUGAAGCGGCAACAGCUCAAAUUUGAAAUCUGGCCCCAGGCCCGAGUUGUAAUUUGCAGAGGAUGCUUUUGGCAAGGUGCCUUCCGAGUUCCCUGGAACGGGACGCCAUAGAGGGUGAGAGCCCCGUCUGGUCGGACACCGAGCCUCUGUAAAGCUCCUUCGACGAGUCGAGUAGUUUGGGAAUGCUGCUCAAAAUGGGAGGUAUAUGUCUUCUAAAGCUAAAUACCGGCCAGAGACCGAUAGCGCACAAGUAGAGUGAUCGAAAGAUGAAAAGCACUUUGAAAAGAGAGUUAAAUAGCACGUGAAAUUGUUGAAAGGGAAGCGUUUAUGACCAGGCUUGGCCCGGUUGAUCAUCCAGCGUUCUCGCUGGUGCACUCUGCCGGUCCAGGCCAGCAUCAGUUCGUCGCGGGGGAUAAAGGUUUCGGGAAUGUAGCUCCUCCGGGAGUGUUAUAGCCCGUUGCGUAAUACCCUGCGGUGGAC
rnacentral:rRNA from 1 species